GAACGGGUGAGUAAUACAUAAGUAACCUGCCCUAGACAGGGGGAUAACUAUUGGAAACGAUAGCUAAGACCGCAUAGGUACGGACACUGCAUGGUGACCGUAUUAAAAGUGCCUCAAAGCACUGGUAGAGGAUGGACUUAUGGCGCAUUAGCUGGUUGGCGGGGUAACGGCCCACCAAGGCGACGAUGCGUAGCCGACCUGAGAGGGUGACCGGCCACACUGGGACUGAGACACGGCCCAGACUCCUACGGGGGCAGCAUG
rnacentral:rRNA from 1 species